rnacentral:rRNA from 1 species
UCUGAAGAGAGCACGCCGCGUGAGUGAAGAAGGUUUUCGGAUCGUAAAGCUCUGUUGUUGGUGAAGAAGGAUAGAGGUAGUAACUGGCCUUUAUUUGACGGUAAUCAACCAGAAAGUCACGGCUAACUACGUGCCAGCAGCCGCGGUAAU